UACGUAGGGUGCAAGCGUUGUCCGGAAUUAUUGGGCGUAAAGAGCUCGUAGGCGGUUUGUCGCGUCGGCUGUGAAAUCCCGAGGCUCAACCUCGGGCCUGCAGUCGAUACGGGCAAACUAGAGUGUGGUAGGGGAGACUGGAAUCCUGGUGUAGCGGUGAAAUGCGCAGAUAUCAGGAGGACACCGGCGGCGAAGGCGGGUCUCUGGGCCAUAACUGACGCUGAGGAGCGAAAGCGUGGGAGCGAACAGG
rnacentral:rRNA from 1 species